UGCCUAGGAAUCUGCCUGGUAGUGGGGGACAACGUUUCGAAAGGAACGCUAAUACCGCACACGUCCUACGGGAGAAAGCAGGGACCUUCGGGCCUUGCGCUAUCAGAUGAGCCUAGGUCGGAUUAGCUAGUUGGUGAGGUAAUGGCUCACCAAGGCGACGAUCCGUAACUGGUCUGAGAGGAUGAUCAGUCACACUGGAACUGAGACACGGUCCAGACUCCUACGGGAGGCAGCAGAC
rnacentral:rRNA from 1 species